CCCUUAGACGUUCUGGGCCGCACGCGCGCUACACUGACGGAGCCAGCGAGUAUAAACCUUGGCCGAGAGGUCUGGGAAAUCUUGUGAAACUCCGUCGUGCUGGGGAUAGAGCAUUGUAAUUAUUGCUCUUCAACGAGGAAUUCCUAGUAAGCGCAAGUCAUCAGCUUGCGUUGAUUACGUCCCUGCCCUUUGUACACACCGCCCGUCGCUACUACCGAUUGAAUGGCUUAGUGGGGCUUCCGGAUUGGUUUAGAGAAGGGGGCAACUCCAUCUUGGAACCGAGAAGCUAGUCAAACUUGGUCAUUUAGAGGAAGUAAAAGUCGUAACA
rnacentral:rRNA from 1 species